CUCCGGUUGAUCCUGCGGGACCCGACUGCUAUCAGAGUGGGACUAAGCCAUGCGAGUCAACGCAGCAAUGCGUGGCAUACGGCUCAGUAACACGUAGUCAACAUGCCCAGGGGACGUGGAUAACCUCGGGAAACUGAGGAUAAACCGCGAUAGGCCAAGAUUUCUGGAAUGGAUAAUGGCUGAAAUCUAUAUGGCCCCUGGAUUGGACUGCGGCCGAUCAGGCUGUUGGUGAGGUAAUGGCCCACCAAACCUGUAACCGGUACGGGCUCUGAGAGGAGGAGCCCGGAGAUGGGCACUGAGACAAGGGCCCAGGCCCUAUGGGGCGCAGCAGGCGCGAAACCUCUGCAAUAGGCGAAAGCUUGACAGGGUUACUCUGAGUGAUGUCCGUUAAGGGCAUCUUUUGGCACUUCUAAAAAUAGUGUAGAAUAAGGGGUGGGCAAGUCUGGUGUCAGCCGCCGCGGUAAUACCAGCACCCCGAGUGGUCGGGACGAUUAUUGGGCCUAAAGCAUCCGUAGCCGGUUCUGCAAGUCUUCCGUUAAAUCCACCUGCUCAACAGAUGGGCUGCGGAGGAUACUACAGGGCUAGGAGGCGGGAGAGGCAAGCGGUACUCAGUGGGUAGGGGUAAAAUCCUCUGAUCCACUGAAGACCACCAGUGGCGAAGGCGGCUUGCCAGAACGCGCUCGACGGUGAGGGAUGAAAGCUGGGGGAGCAAACCGGAUUAGAUACCCGGGUAGUCCCAGCUGUAAACGAUGCAGACUCGGUGAUGGGUUGGCUUCGAGCCAACCCAGUGCCGCAGGGAAGCCGUUAAGUCUGCCGCCUGGGGAGUACGGUCGCAAGACUGAAACUUAAAGGAAUUGGCGGGGGAGCA
rnacentral:rRNA from 1 species